rnacentral:rRNA from 1 species
GACGAACGCUGGCGGCGUGCCUAAUACAUGCAAGUCGAACGCAGUGGGGACGGGUGAGUAACACGUGGGUAACCUCCCAUCAGAGGGGAUAACACUUGGAAACAGGUGCUAAACCGAUACUGAUGGAUGGACCCGCGGUGCAUUAGCUAGUUGGUGAGGUAACGGCUCACCAAGGCGACGAUCCCUAGCUGGUCUGAGAGGGUGACCAGCCACACUGGAACUGAGACACGGCCCAGACUCCUACGGGAGGCAGCAGUGGGGAAUAUUGGACAAUGGGCGAAAGCCUGAUGCAGCCACGCCGCGUGUGUGAAGAAGGCCUUCGGGUUGUAAAGCUCUGUCAUCGGGGAGGCGGUACUCGCAGAAGAAGCAACGGCUAACUCCGUGCCAGCAGCCGCGGUAAUUC